CACAUUCCCUCCUUUCCAGGUGUUCAGCACCCCUGUCAGCUCAAGGGUAUCUCCCCCCGCCCAAAGAAGCCCACGGGCCAGGGGUCCCCAGCACUGCGCCUGCGGAGACCUCCGUCUGAAGUAGACGAUCGCGGUGGCCGGAAACCGCGUGUGCAUGUGAACUGACCCGGGGGAUGUAAUGAUGUGUGUCCUCCUUAGCGUAGUGGUGAGUAUCGCCGCCUGUCACGUGGGAGACCGGGAUUCCCCGGCGGGGAGGUGAUAGAGACCUUUUAGCUCCUCUGCGAAAAGGCCACCUCGGCACCGUCCCUUCUAGGACACUAGAGAGGUGCCCACGGUGUAAUCCCACGGUGUGCGUCACAGGGUUUCUGCACCGUAGGAAGACGUUCAGGCACUUUCAAGGUUGCGCUGACUCACAAGGGGGUGUGGAGCGAGGAUAGCCCGGUGUUCGGUAGCAUAACCUAGAACUUCCCUUUUCCACUGUAGGUAUAUUCCUAUUUCUGUUUCUUAUGAGCUGUCACAAUGUCAGCCAGCAGUUAUGGAGCUCUUACCACGUGGAGGCAGAACUCCUAGGCGCCCCACAGGUAGGCGCUGCUGGAGGCCAUUGCACACAGUGGACAGGUGAGCAGGCACACGGACUCCGCAACCCGCCUCGUCAAACCACAGCCAACUCCAGACGUCGGUUACCAAUGGGGACAGGGACCGGAUGACUUUAAAGGGUAUGUGUAUUCUAAAAAGCAAAAGAGAUUAAACUCGAAGAAAAGUCCAGCAGCAUACUGAAAAGUCAGCAUAAAAAGGAAUCCAGAGGCCCUGCCAGAUUUGCCAGAAAAGUUUUGUUCUGCAUUAGAAGUCUUUAUUAUUUUGUUAACCAUAUCUAUGUACUACUUCAGCAUGUGUAGAAAAUAUUUUAAAAACUUUGGCAAAAGAUUGAUAUCUUUAUUAUAGACAUAAUUUAUUGAAACCGUAAGAAAAAUCUUAAAAUGCCAAUAGAUCACAGUGAAUGAACUGUAAGGCAAUGAAUGAAUUUACAGAAGAGGAAAAUGUUAACAGAUGUUAAUAAAAUAUCUGUAAUAUUGUG